UGGAUGGUGGGCAAAUGUUGUAUAAAUCUCCUAGGCUGCAGUCAGAACAGGUUUGGUUCUGAGGAGUGGAUGCUGGGUUUUCAAAUGCAGAAACAGCCAUUGGCACCAGAGUCAAUAUCUACAGCCUCUAGACCUUCUUCAUUAGACCACUUUGAUCUCCUUCAUCACUCAAAGCCAAACCAAUGGACGAGUGGGCGAAAUCUGAAAGCUAAUUUGAUGAGACACGCCUGCAACAUCGACUAGUUUGUACAUGAGCGACCAGCAGAUGACCCCUCCCAUCUGCAUUGGCGCAGUCCAGGUUACUGCGCUGGCAGCCGCCAACUGAGGGAAAUGGGGGAAUACAAGGUUAAUGAGAUCUUCCUGGCACCGGACUCGUUCAUCAGACUAAUUACAGUCAGGUCAAAUUAAAUGAACAGAGCCUAAUAUUAUUGUGUGUAUUGAUGUGUAUCACUGCUCUGUGUGCAUGAAGUCAUGAUCUUAUAGAGCAGCUGAGAUUUCAGUGCUCAUUUUUUUUUUUAUAUAUACAAUACAGUAGGAACUAGUGUACUUUUCUUGGCUUUUAAGUAAAACAAAAUGAGUAUUGCAAUAAAUCGUUUUUUAUUUGAC
rnacentral:lncRNA from 1 species